UUCUGUUACUUUCAAAAUGACCUCAUGCUCAACUCACAUAUGUCAUUAGUUAAGCUCAUCCAGACUGAAUUCCCUGACCGACCAUUAAUACAUCAUCCCCACACUUCUGGUUAUGUUCUUUGUAACAUGGGACUAUUUACAUGUGGGACACACUGUUGGCGCUUUUCAAAGAAGUUAACAUGUGAAAAGUAGCAGAACCGGUACAGUAGAAAAGGCCAUCUAGUUACUGAACUGGUCGUGCAUGGCCGUGCAUGUACAUAGUACAUAAACGUUGAAUGUUCAAUGCCACAGAAACCCCAAAUGUUUUCUAUUCUUCAGCCUCUAAUGCGCCCUGAUAGAAGGCUUUAUCAAGAUAGAGACAACACCCGAGAACUACUGCCACAACCUCAUCCAUAAAUGACAUCUACCGAGCAUUUUCUGCAACAAAUUAAGUAAAGUUUACCUAGAAUCCCAAUCCAUAUUUCUCUCCCCUCUCCUGCAACUCGCACAACAAGUAUAACAAUCAGUAUAUAUGGACACAGCUGCAUGAGGGCACAUCAAGGAACAACAAAAAAACACAUCAAUCAGGAUGCUUGUUCAGUAUACACACUUUCGCAAACAUUAUCUUCUCCUUUUCAUAUUUGAUUUCUAGCACAUAAUAAACACCAUCAUCCAUAUUUCAAAGUCUUGGUUGUUAAUUUUGCAUCGUGUGUGUGGCAAUCUGGGUUCAGCAAAAGCUCUGAAUCUUUUCCUGAUAAUCUUAGUGUCAUAAUAUAGUCUUCUCUGCCAAUGAGUAAUGGUUGGAAACAAGAAACACAAGAGGUUUUAUAUGCUAAUGAUAAUAUGCUACAUAAAUAAAUAAAUAAAACAGAGAUGAGAUGAACCAAAAAAUUGAGCUUGUAGUACAAAUACCAAUUACAAACACCUUAUCGCAGCUUAUAAGGAAAUCAUUUUGUCAAGCGUAUAGUACAAAAACGAAGUACUCUGUAGAAACAUACAGAUAGAAAGGCUCAAUGGCAAUGGGCAUAUCUGCAGCGGAGCCGCAACCUCAAGUAUAAUUGCCAUACUUAUCUACACUAAAAAGGAUAGAGAGUGACCCAUGCAUGUGCAUUGAGGGAUACACUAAAGUUAGUUAUGUGCCUAAGCUUGGUUUGUGAAAAAGGCGAAACCAAUUAUUUAUGUGCUUAACACACCAGCAAAUCAAAUGCAGCCUCCACUACAUGUCAAUAGUUCCAAGAAAAACAAAAAUCUAAUAUGAUAUUUAAUUGUAAGCAUACAACAAAUAGUUCCACUCAUAAAUUGGUGUCGCCAUUCCUCAAAAUAGAAAUUUUCAACCUUUCCAUCCUUUUUAAAUUACAACAAAGAGUAUCACUGUUUAAGUUUCUAAGAAAAGUGGAGAAGAAAAGUUGAGGAGCUGAGGACAGGGAAAUGUGAUAAUUUCAAGGAGAUAACUUUGUCUAGUUUUAUAUCCUAUAAUGUUGAAUUUUGAAAAGGUUUUUCUAUUAUUAUGUUGACACUAUGACAGCAUGUUUACGCCAGGAUAAAAUCCUGUCAAAAUUAUUUGUCUAGUUCAAACAGGAUAUCAUGUUCAAGAAUUUGACAAUGAUAGUAUAUCAUCUGCAAUUAUUAUGCUAUAUGACAUGAAGUGUACACGUUUAACUUGGCAAAACAUAACAUACACAGGAUCGGCAAAAAAAUCCCCAGAGCCUUCCUACUCGUCCUAGGCACCUCCCUGCCUCCCUCUCUCCCCUAAUCAGGCUAGUAAAAAUAUAGACCCAAGUUGUAUAUGAACUUUGUCUAGUUUUAUAUUCUAUAAUGUUGAAUUUUGAAAAGGUUUUUCUAUUAUUAUGUUGACANNNNNNNNNNNNNNNNNNNNNNNNNNNNNNNNNNNNNNNNNNNNNNNNNNNNNNNNNNNNNNNNNNNNNNNNNNNNNNNNNNNNNNNNNNNNNNNNNNNNNNNNNNNNNNNNNNNNNNNNNNNNNNNNNNNNNNNNNNNNNNNNNNNNNNNNNNNNNNNNNNCAAUAAUCUCACACAUGCAUGAAAGAGCGGGCAAAAAAACUGCACCGCCAGGGUCUCAAAAAUUGGGAUCACAAAAGACAUAGCAAGGCACAUCCUAGCGCAGGAAGUAGUAUAGAUGAAAUAAGCAACAUAAGAAACCAAAACAAACAACUAAAGCACGCACGCAACACCUGGUCAGGUAGAAGAAUAAACAGUAAGUAAUAUAGAGAAACAAAAUUAAAGAAAACAGAAAACGGAGGCACACAAUACAAACCUUGAUAGCAAGUCGGGGAACCGGCAACCUAACAGAUCGGUAAACGACAAAGCAAGUGAAGGCAACGACAACUGGACCUGCAAAACAAAAGGAAGCAAGGAGCCACAUGACGGAUAGUGUCAAGCUAUCUACUGCGAGGACUAUCAUGAAACUAAAAUCUGCUGUUGCAUUACCUACACAGCCUUUGUAUAUGUUAUCAGAUUAACAUGUAUGGAGACAACAGAAUAUACCAGGGGAUAAUUAAGUAACACCAGGAAAACUAUUACCAGAUCACAAACAACGGCAAUCUGACAACCAAAGCACAAGGUUGCCAAAGAAAGGCGCACUUACAGAGUCCAUAAACAAGAUAUCAAGUAGAACACAUAAUAUAAAACAGAGGCGUAAUUCUCCUCUGUAUUCUGAUAUAUAUGCUUCAGAAAUUUGUACCUUCUCUUCUGUUUGAUUUGGUUACCGUAGUUCGAUCUUUUCCCUCUGGUGAGUUAUGCGCCAUCCUUACAUGAUUCAUCAGCAUCACCUAGAAACGAUCUGAGGAAAAACAAAAUCAAAGUGAAAUCAAAUGGAAUCACGUGCAGGUAGUAGCGAAGUACUAUAUCGAAAUCAUUUGUUGCAAUGUAAAUUUGUAAGAUACAUGCAAUUGAUAUCCAAAGGUCACUAUUUUGAAUUCUCUCUAAGCAUAACAGGCAAAAGUAUUAGGUGGAUGCAAAUGCUCCUAUUCUCCUUAUUGUAAGAAUAUGUAGGAGGUUUAUUAGUAAGGAAAUAGUGGUAACCUUUUCUUAGUAAAUAAGAUCGAUGGAAACAAAUGUACUUUUCAUAUGUGACUCCGGAAAAAAAAUUAAAUAUCUUUUCCUUUAGCUGUACCAUGACCAUAUUUACAAUGGUCCAUCGCACUGUCAAUGUACCACAAUGUGCAUAGCUUAUUGAUGCUUUGGGGCUAACACAUGUUCUUCACAACUAAAUUGGUAGAACGAUAAACAUGAUGUUGAGCUAGAAAAAAUAGAACUACAGACUGGGAAAAGUUCAGGUCCAAAAGCAUAUCUGAUAGAUAUGUCUGUCAGGCGUGUCGAACAUUUUCUACAGUGAGAUAGACUGAGCAGAAGAAACACAUUACUGGUUUUCCAAAAACAUCUUAAGAAAUGGAGCUCUUGGACCAGUGAAUUACACCGGUAUUCUCAAUAUAGAAUAUACCACAUCUGCAAUCUCACUGGUGAGAACCAGUGAUCAGUGAAAGAUUAAGAAAUUAUCUAAACCUAUAAGCUUCCAUUCUAACUGGCGGGGAAACAAAAUGUCAAUAUCCUCUCACUUAGUUCAGACAUGUAUAGGAUAGUGUAGCAGUACAUGUGUGUAAACAGAAACCAAGUUCAUUAUGGAAACUGGAAAGUACCAACAAAAUGGCAGUAAAAGGUUUUUAAGUUUUACGUUUAGUAGCACGGGUAGGAAGUAGAUCAGUUCUUUUUUUAGUUCGGGGAAAUUUAGGACAAUGUAGAAUUGCCUAAUUAUUUUAUAUCCAAGAUAGAAGUAUUGGCAGAUUAUCCUCAAACUAUAUUCUUUACAGUUAUAAGAAAUGUUGUCCAAUGCAGAGAAAUAGGCAUGAUAAUUGAUAAGUUUGGUAACUAAGCGUAAAAGACGCUCACUACAAAAAUACAGGCCAUAGAACUGAAAAUAGAAAAACCGAUGAUAAAGAAGGAGGUAACCUGGUAGAGUGCCACACCGAAGGGCAUUUUCCUAAAUAUGUUUGUAAAACACAACUCACGGUCGAUGGACUUAACUAAGGUAUUUUUAAGCACAACAUUUAUAAAGGAAAUUGACCAUAUACUUUUUUAUGAAUGAUGCAAGACUUAUGUUUUUUUUGCAAGAAUCAACCUUAGCAGGCUGUUGUGUAGAGUUACUGUCAGCGGAAGAUGGCGCAGCCAAGAAAAAUUGGUUGUGGAUUUCUUCUAUGCCUGUUGCUCCAUCCUGCAGCAAUUAUUUAGAAAAACAAAUAAGAUGAUUGUCAGAUUAGAUAAGGCACACUUCUUGCACUGAAAACAAAUGUUUUGCAUCAAUAUAAUAGAUGACCAAAAAAUCUGAAUACUAAAAGUGCAAGGUGGAUAUGCAUGAGAAUGGAAGAUCUGAAUGUGCAAGUACAAGCAUUAAGGAAGGUACUAACUAAUUUGUAGCUGUUGCAUUGUACAACCUACACACAGAAAACAAAUGCCAAGAUAGAAAGCUCGCUGUUCUAAAUCAUAUACACGGCCGCUAAGUAAAUUACCGAGUUAGUUUAAGCAGCCUAGGAAAGAGAAAAUAAUCUAGCAAAAUUAGGGAAUCUAGUACUUGCUUACUUACUAAGCCUUUUGUCCCAAACAAGUUCGUGUAGGCUAGAUAUAAAACCCUUUCACGAGGUCUUCCCAGGAGAUCCCCAUCCUAGUACUAUUCUCGCCCAAAUGGGUUUCAUACCCAAAGGACUGACUAGUUUUUACGUUGGCUCGCCAAGCCUAUCACAACCCUUAGAUACUCUUAUCAUAACUGAUAAAAAGGAACUAUCCUUGGACAUGCUUAUUAGUUUUACGCUCAAGAGAACUUAUUAGGCAAGUAAACCGUACAAUGUGAUUUCUUAGGUACUUAGCAAUCUCUCAUAGGUUAAUUAGAUGCUCUUUUAUUGAUUUAGAUGUAGUAACCAAGUCAUUAUGUACCAUUUGGCAAGUUCAUGCAUUAAUGCUUCAGCUUUAAGGUCCAUCAAUCAAAACAAAGCCCAAGCACAUACAUUGGGCGAAUUCCUGAAAGAACAAAGGAACAGGUGAGUGUUAUCUAUAAAGAAAUCAAGAGAAUGAAAUAGGAGGGCUGAUUAUUCAGAAGAAAGGGUGGAGUAUAAUAUCUCUAUUGGACUCCCAAUUAGCAAAAGAAGAAGACAUGGAAAGGCAUAUUCUAAAAUAUGUGAUAUAUCAUUGCCCUUAAAGAUUUGAAAUUCCAUCUACGGAACUACAAAAAUGUAAACAUCCAACAAAUUCAGAUGCAUGACACAGACAGCCGUACCAAUAGACAGAGAUGCUUAACUGAAAAGCUAGGAGCUGCAUGAGAAGUCCUUUGACAAAAUGCUCCAACCUGACAAUAGGUUGGGUCAGAAUAUAAUAUGCUUAAUACCUAACCCUUGACAACAUCUAAACAAAUUAAUAAACAUUAACUACGUACAUGCAGCUCCCACAGAUUAGGGCAGUGUGUAAUGUUUCAUUCUUCUUGUUUUAACACCAAAAGAAAAGAUAAUCAAGGGAAAAUAAUUUUUUUCCUUUCUAAAACAACUCAAUCUGCUCCUUUAAAUUUAUUUAGCUGGCAGACAUGAACCAACUAUGGUAACUUUCUUAUCUGGGGCCUAAUUUUAACUUGGUACAAAAUAAAGUAGUCAUUUUUACGUACUAAAACUUUACUUCUGGGUAAGAUAAUCCAAAAUGUAACUACUACAACAGGAGAACCACAGAUCAAUUUACCAUCAACUUAAGAUAUUGGCGAUAUAAUUGAAUUUUUUUAGCAUUGUACCAGCCACAAGAUUGCCACAAAUCACAAUCAAACAUGUGUGUACGUAUCUCUUGUUCUACCCUAAAAUUGGCUUUCUAACUCAUGCAACUAAGCAUAAUUUAUUUUGCGACGCCCUAGAAUAUCUGCGGUAAAAUUACUUACGAAUGCAUCGUGAACCCUGCUGUAUAACCUGCAAUACCAUAGUUGUAGCUACAUCAACAUGGACAUAUCAUCAGUUACUAAAAAAGAACCUUUACAUAAUGGAAAAUGAGUUGUUAUUAUGCCUUGCUUCUUAGUGGGAUGUGCAUACCUCUUUGCCUGUCGCUGCUGUCCUCGUCUAUGUGCACCACCUCCAUCCUGCCUGAAUGGUAUUAUCAUGUCAAAUAGCUUUGGCCUCCUGACCUGUGCACCUGUCACACCUAACCAGUGGUUAGUGCGCCUAAGAGCUGGCUGGUGGGCCCAGCCAGCUGGCCAGACAAGUGGCGUGCGUGUGUGGGGUUAAAUUGGCCGCCUGUGGCCGGGUGUGAGUAUGCGUGCAUUGUACUCUGAAUCUUAAUCUUCCCUCUGCAAUCCAUCUCCUCCUCCUUCCUCUCCAAGCCAACCUCUCGUCCCCCAGCGCGAUCUGGAUCCUCUCCCUCUCCCUCUCUUCCUGGGGUGUUACAACUGGUAAUCAGAGCCACCAAAUCUUCCGAAAAAUUUUGUUCCUCACUUGUUUGGGGGUCAGUAACAUCCACCGCGCCGGUGUGGCUUGCUCCGGCGAACCACACAAAAUCCGUCGCGGGAUUCGACGCCCUCUCGAGCAGGACGACGGCUACUUCCAAGGCUUCUGCGGCGACGCGGCAAGUGCUGGCCGCCAUGGACGAGGGGAACACCAACAUCACCAAGAUGCUGGAGUCGCUGCUCGCCAAGAUCGACGAUCAGAAGGCGACUCACGAGAAGCGGAUCGAGCUCCAGGCCGCCUUCAACGCGCAGAUCUCGCAAGAGAUGCGCGGCCUAGCGCGGCAGCUCGAUCUGACGCAGGCGGACCUCGACCUCACGCGCAAGACGACGGAAGGAUCCUCUCCAUCAGGCUCGGUCACCACGCACAUCCACCAGCCCGCGCAACCGCAGCAACCCCCACCGCCUCCGGAUCCGUACCGGCCGUCGUCGUCGCACGCGCGCCUGGGCGAUCACCGCCCUCCCCUCCUUCCGGUGCCGCCACAGGGAGGGUUCGUCGCCGCUCCGACCGCGUCUCCGCCGGGCUACCACUCCAACGAGUACCACAAGCCCCCGAAACAUGGUUUCCCCAAGUUCGACGGAACGGCGCCGUACUUAUGGCUGGACCGCUGCCUCGCCUACUUCGAGCUCUACAAGUUGGCUGCACACCAGUGGGUCGCCACCGCCGCGCUCUACAUCGACGGCCAGGCAGCACACUGGCUCCAAGCGUUCCGCCAAUCGCAUCACAACAUCACAUGGGACGUGUUUACAUCGGCGAUCCUGGAGGAGUUUGGCGCCGACGAGUUCGAGAUGGUGAUGCACAAGCUCCUGCAACUCCGGCAGACAGGCACCGUCGCCGAGUACCGUGCUGCCUUCGACGAGCAGAUGUACCACUUGCUCGCACUCGAUCCGUCCAUCAACACCAAGUUCUUCGUCACGCAAUUCCUCCUCGGCCUGAAGGACGAACUGCGUGCCCCGGUGCGGCUCCAGGCGCCGUCAAGCAUCACGCGCGCCUCGGUGCUCGCGCGCAUACAGGAGGAAGAACUGGGCACGUACCGUGCACGCCCCCGCAUCACACCCGCUGGCCGACCACCACCGACAGCUGCCGCGGCCGCGCCACAGCGCGCCGUGGCCGCGCCGGCGCGUGCCCAAGGGGACGAGUACGCGCGGGAGAGGCAGCUGCGCGACUUCCGCCGAGCGAACAACCUCUGUUUCAAGUGUGGGGAUCGGUACUCCAGAGAGCAUCGCUGCGCCCAGCCCGCGCAGUUGCUCACCAUCAACGUGGGCGACCACGGAGAGGUGCUAUCCGACGACACCAUCCACGCCUUGCAACUGCUCGACGAUCCGGGGCCAGCGGCGCAAUCUCCUGCUCCGGCCGCGGACGCGCCAGAGUGCUGCCUCCUCUCGUCCCAGGCGCUCGACGGCACAGACUCCACAACGACGAUCCGGUUGCGCGCCCUCGUCGGGAACCAGGUCAUGCUCCUGUUGCUCGACUCAAGCAGCACCCACAGUUUCGUCAACAAGGCCUUCGUCGAUCGCCUCGGCCUCGCCACGGAAGAAAUGCCGCCAACGGAGGUGCGGGUGGCCAAUGGCGACAAGCUCACGUGCACGCGCAGGGUGCCCGGCCUCAAGUGGUGGAUGCAGGGUCACACCUUCAACACGCCCAUGCACGAACUGGAGAUCGGCGCGUACGAUGGCAUUCUGGGCAUGGACUGGCUCGCCCAGAACAGUCCGAUGACAUGCCACUGGCAAGACAAGUGGGUGAAAUUCCAGCACGACGGCGCAGAAGUUACCCUGCGCGGCGUGUCCACCAAGCCGGCCACCUCCAUCAAGGCCGUAGGACCCGAAGAGCUGCGCAAGAUGGUGGCCGGAAACGACGUUUGGGCCAUGGCCAUGGUGGACACAUGCAACGGCGCGCCGCGACCGGCUCGCAAGUGUGCAAGCCAAACCCCGCUCGCCGACCUACUCGAGGAGUUCGCCGACGUGUUCGCGGCACCGAAAGGGCUCCCUCCGCACCGACAGUACGACCACGUCGUCACGCUGGUGGAGGGCGCGGUCCCCGCGAACACGCGCCCGUAUCGCUACUCGCCUCUGCAGAAGGACGAAAUCGAGCGUCAGGUUAAGGAGAUGCUGGAUUCGGGCGUGAUCACGCACAGCGUCAGUCCAUAUGCCGCGCCGGUGCUGCUCGUGAAGAAGGACGGCACUUGGCGGUUCUGCGUCGACUAUCGCCGGCUCAACGACGCCACCAUCAAGAACAAGUUUCCCCUUCCUAUCAUUGACGAACUCCUGGAUGAAUUGGCCGGCGCAGCAGUGUUCUCCAAGCUGGACUUGCGCGCUGGUUACCACCAAAUCAGAAUGCGGGAAGAGGACGAGCUCAAGACGGCAUUCAAGACGCACCAUGGACACUUUCAGUUCAGAGUCAUGCCGUUCGGCCUGACGAACGCGCCUGCCACAUUUCAGUGCCUGAUGAACUCCAUGUUUGGUAAGUAUGUCCGCAAGUUCGUCAUCAUCUUCCUUGACGAUAUCCUUCUCUUCAGUGAAACCAUGGAGGAGCACCUGGAACACCUGCGCAUUGUCUUCGAGCUGCUCCGGGCACACCAGCUUUUCGUCAAGGAAUCCAAGUGCACUUUAGCUGCGGAUCACAUCGACUACCUGGGUCAUGUGAUCUCCAAGGAGGGCAUGGCCACAGAUAAGGAGAAGACGUAGGCCAUGGAUCAGUGGCCGACACCGACGAACGCCACGGAGCUGUGCGGCUUCCUCGGCCUCACGGGCUACUACAGGAAGUUCGUCCCACACUAUGGCAUCAUCGCGAAGCCACUCACACAGCUGCUGACGAAGAAGGGCUUCUUCUGGACGGCGCAAGCACAAGCAGCGUUCGAGACGCUCAAGCAAUCGAUGGUCACCACGCCAGUCCUUGCCCUACCAGAAUUUGCGCGGCCGUUCACGAUCGGGACAGACGCCUGCGACACGGGCGUGGGCGCGGUGCUCGCGCAGGAUGGGCACCCGGUCGCAUACUUCAGCAAGGCGCUCGGCGUUCGCAACCAGAAGCUAUCCACUUAUGAGAAGGAAUUCCUCGCCGUGAUGAUGGCCGUCGACAAGUGGCGUCAGUACUUGCAGCGCGGCCCCUUCGACAUCAUCACGGAUCACAAAUCUCUCUGUAAUCUAGGCGAACAACACCUGGAGACAGAGCUCCAGCGCAAGGCCAUGGCGAAGCUGGUGGGAUUACAGUUCCGUUUUCAGUACAGAAGGGGGCUGGACAACGGCGCAGCUGACGCGCUCUCGCGAGUGGGCAAACAGUUCGAACUGGCCGCGCUCUCGACGUGCCAGCCCAACUGGGUGCAGGAGGUGGCCAACUCAUAUGCCACUGACGCUAACGCCCAGGAACGACUGCAACAACUGGCGAUCCACAGCCCGGACGAUUAGGGCUACGAGCUCUACCGUGGCAUCAUCAGGCGCCAGGGGCGCCUCUGGAUCGGGGCCAAUUCGGCCCUGCGCACCAAGCUCAUCGCCGCGCUGCACUGCAGUGCGGUGGGUGGUCACUCCGGCUCCACUGCCACCUACCAGCGCGUGCACAAACACUUCGACUGGCGCGGCCUCAAGCGCGACGUCGCCGAGUUCGUGCAGCAGUGCACCGUGUGCCAGCAGGCCAAGCACGAGCAUGUCAAGCCGGCGGGCCUCCUCGCCCCGCUGCCCAUUCCAACGGCGCCAUGGCAGGACCUCACCAUGGACUUCGUGGAGGGGCUACCGCGCUCCGAAGGACACGACACGAUCAUGGUGGUCGUCGACCGCUUCACCAAGUUCGCCCACUUUGUCCCUCUCCGCCACCCCUUCAACGCCAAGCAGGUGCCGCGCGCCUUCUGGGAGAACGUGGUGAAGCUGCACGGCAUUCCGGUGUCCAUCGUCUCCGAUCGCGACAAGAUCUUCACAAGCCACCUCUAGCGCGAGCUGCUCGCGAGCGCUGGCACCAAACUGUUGUACUCGACAGCCUAUCACCCUCAGACCGACGGCCAGAGUGAAAGGGUGAAUCAGUGCAUGGAGAUGUACCUCCGAUGCGCUGUCCACGACUCGCCGCACCAAUGGCGCCGGUGGCUGCCAAUGGCGGAGUUCUGGUACAAUUCCACCUUCCAUGCGUCACUCAAAGGCACUCCCUUCAAGGCCCUCUACGGCACGGAAGCUAACCUGGGCGCCAUGGCUUCUUGGGCGGAGUCGGCGCCGGCCGGCGAGGAGUUGGAUUGGGCGGCGCACACCGCGCACAGCUGGAGCGCGCACAGCACCGAUUCAAGAAGAACGCUGACCGCAACCGCACAGAGAGGCACUUUCAGGAGGGCGAACAAGUGUUGCUCAAGCUCCAGCCGUAUGGGCAGCGUUCGGUGGUCAAUCGCCCCUGCGCCAAGCUCGCCUUUAAGUACUUUGGCCCGUUCAAGAUCACCGAGAAGAUUGGCGCACUCGCUUACAAGCUCGACCUGCCGCCAGAAAGCCAAGUCCACCCUGUCUUUCACGUGUCACAACUGAAGCCCUUCACCCCCGACUAUACGCCGGUGUACGGUGAACUUCCCAAGGCGCCGGACCUCUCCGUCGACAACCUCCUGCCGACCCGCAUCCUGGACAGGGGCAUGAUGAAGCGCGGCGACGUGCCGGUGGUGCAGCUCAAGGUGCAGUGGGGCACCGGCGACUCCGCGCCGACGACAUGGGAGGACCACGACGUGCUGCGCAACCGCUUUCCAACGGCAUCACUGUGGGCGGAGGCGGAGAACGACGACGAUACUGACGAAGAAGAUGAGGACACAGCUUAAGGAGGGAGGAAUGUCACACCUAACCAGUGGUUAGUGCGCCUAAGAGCUGGCUGGUGGGCCCAGCCAGCUGGCCAGACAAGUGGCGUGCGUGUGUGGGGUUAAAUUGGCCGCCUGUGGCCGGGUGUGAGUAUGCGUGCAUUGUACUCUGAAUCUUAAC
rnacentral:lncRNA from 1 species